rnacentral:rRNA from 1 species
GGGAUAACUCCGGGAAACCGGGGCUAAUACCGGAUGCUUGAUUGAACCGCAUGGUUCAAUUAUAAAAGGUGGCUUUUAGCUACCACUUACAGAUGGACCCGCGGCGCAUUAGCUAGUUGGUGAGGUAACGGCUCACCAAGGCAACGAUGCGUAGCCGACCUGAGAGGGUGAUCGGCCACACUGGGACUGAGACACGGCCCAGACUCCUACGGGAGGCAGCAGUAGGGAAUCUUCCGCAAUGGACGAAAGUCUGACGGAGCACCGCCGCGUGAGUGAUGAAGGUUUUCGGAUCGUAAAACUCUGUUGUUAGGGAAGAACAAGUACCGUUCGAAUAGGGCGGUACCUUGACGGUACCUAACCAGAAAGCCACGGCUAACUACGUGCCAGCAGCCGCGGUAAUACGUAGGUGGCAAGCGUUGUCCGGAAUUAUUGGGCGUAAAGCGCGCGCAGGCGGUUUCUUAAG